GCAGCGGGGUGGCACCCGCCACCGCCAGCACCCCGCGGUGUCCCCCGCGCACCUGAACGCCGGGAUCUCCUUGGCGAACUUGAUCACCUGCUGGAUCAUGAACGUGCUCAGCGCAUGAACUGCGAGAAGCUGGAGUCGAAGUCCCCACCCCCUCUUUCCCAUUGGCUGCUCGCGGCUGUCAAUCAAACCCCGCCCCUAUAAAGGCGGCGGCGGCAGCGCCGGGACCGCACUGGGAGCGGCGGCGGCACCGGGCGGGAUG